rnacentral:rRNA from 1 species
CCAGUUCUACAUAAACGAUGCCAACCAGCGAUUAGCCUGAGUUCCUUAAAUGACUCGGCUAGCAGCUUCCGGGAAACCAAAGUGUUUCGGUUCCGGGGGAAGUAUGGUUGCAAAGCUGAAACUUAAAGGAAUUGACGGAAGGGCACCACCAGGAGUGGAGCCUGCGGCUUAAUUUGACUCAACACGGGAAAACUUACCCGGCCCGGACACUGGAAGGAUUGACAGAUUGAGAGCUCUUUCUUGAUUCAGUGGGUGGUGGUGCAUGGCCGUUCUUAGUUGGUGGAGCGAUUUGUCUGGUUAAUUCCGAUAACGAACGAGACUCUAGCCUACUAAAUAGACUGUUCAGCUUUAUAGCCGGAAUCACCGGGCGCGUAGCUCUCGGGUUGCGCGUUCGGCUCUGGUGACGUUGACAGUGCUUCUUAGAGGGACAGGCGGCGGUUCAGCCGCACGAAACAGAGCAAUAACAGGUCUGUGAUGCCCUUAGAUGUCCGGGGCUGCACGCGCGCUACACUGAAGUGAUCAGCGUGCAAUUUACGUUUGGUGAUCUGUCAAGAUUGCCCAACCCGUUGAACCUUCUUCGUGAUUGGGAUAGGGGAUUGUAAUUAUUCCCCUUGAACGAGGAAUUCCCAGUAAGCGCAAGUCAUAAGCUUGCGUUGAUUACGUCCCUGCCCUUUGUACACACCGCCCGUCGCUACUACUGAUUGAAUGAAUUAGUGAGGUCUUCGGACUGGCCUGUGCUGGCUGUUUCGGCAGCUGCACAUGGCUCGGGAGAUGCCCAAACUUGUUCAUUUAGAAGAAGUAAAAGUCGUAACAAGGUUUUCGUAGGUGAACCUGCGGAAGGAUC